rnacentral:lncRNA from 1 species
AGGAUCUUUACUUUAGAAUGACAAGGGACAUCGCCCCCAGGAUCGGAUAUCCUAAACCCGUCCUGCUGCAUUCUUCCUUCUUCUCUGACCUGCAGGGCAUCCAGAACAAAAUGAGUGCCAGUGACCCCAGCUCUUUUAUCUUCCUCACCAACAUGGCCAUGCAGAUCAAGACCAAGGUGAGCAGUGCCCAGGAUCAGUAAGCAUGCAUUUUCUGGAGAGAGAGACACCAUCGAGGAGCACAGGCACUUUGGGGGCAACUGUGUUGUGGACGUGUCUUUCAUGUACUUGACCUUCCUCAAGGAUGAAGACAAGCUCGAGCAGAUGAGGAAGGAUGACACCAGCAGAGACAUGCUCACUGGUGACCUCAAGAAGAUGCUCAUAGAGGUUCUCCAGCCCGUGAUUACAGAGCACCAAGCCCAGUGCAAGGAGGUCAUGGACGAGUUAGUGAAAGAGU